UCUCCUGUGCGUCAUUUCCGCCGCACCGCCAAAACAUGAAAAAUGGGGGGGGAGAUCACGAAGCGAUCAAUUAUAAUUAAAUUAACUCAUCAGGUGAGACAGAAGUUGAAUUUCGUGUUUGAAAUCAGAUAGGACAAUCUCCUAUCAUUUAUGAAGAAACCAGGGUUAUUUUGAAAAUAUAUCACUCAGAAAAACAACAGGCCUACAAUUCUGGCCAGUUAUCAAUGGAUUAGAGAAAUGAGCUUAUCAAACAGCACGGAUCCACGAUGCUGGCGGUCUGGGCCAGUAGCCAUCUUCAGCUUCUGGCGAUGGAAGGGGCCUUCGGCUGAUGAAAGACAGCCCUGGCCCCUGCCAGCCGGCCCCGCCACUGGUGACGAGCGCUGGCGCGUCAGCGACCGCUCGAGCGACUCUGAUCAAGCCGUGCAAGUAAUGCUCUACCUGCUGAUCCACCACCGAGGGCUCCGCGCCGGCCGCAUCCGAAGGAGGAUGCGUCAUGUACUGUGCAGCCGAGGAGACCUACUGGCCACUCGUGAGGCCUACAAUCUGCAUGAUCAGUCAGCACCACCUGCGGGCGGUCGCCAUCGAGUACGUCCGAGGCGCUCUUUCUCCCAAGCCACUUGGGUAUGGACGGACGGUUCGGCUAACGCAGGAGUCCGCAGCGGAGGGGCCGGGGCCUUGGCCAGCUCUGCACCAGCUAGAGCGCGGAGAUGGUUGCGCUCCGCUCAGCCAUCAGCGCGACCACCUGUGGCACCUGAGCGCCCCGGUCGUCUUUUGCACAGGCUCCCAGGCGGCGCUGGCGACACUGAGGGAGGGCCCAGCCACACAGAAAACCUCGAUGGGCGCCGCCGUGUGGACGGGGCUGGCAGUCCUGUUCCGCCACUUCCACCUGCAAUUGGUGCCGUCC